rnacentral:lncRNA from 1 species
CUCCCUGUUGAUGCAUGGCAGUUUGUUUGUACUAUGUAACUUUGUUUCUUUUUUGCACAUUUUAGGUUUGAGCCAGCCAUCAUAACUUCAAGAUAUGCAAGUUUCGCUUAUGCUGGACAUCAGCAGCAACAAUCUUAGUCUCAUCAUCGCUUGGAUAUGCAGCAUCCAGUUUUAUUGGAAAACUACCGAUGUCUGUCGAGUUACGGAUCUCUUCUUCCCCUUGUCCUUGUGUACACCCAUGUGUGUGUGGGCGUAUUCACGAGGACCCCCUUUUUCCGAUCCUGCCUGGUGGAUUCAACUCUGCAGCAGAAGGAGCACUUGUGGGAUGCCUGGCUGUAUUUCCCAGGCACAAAGUCGUUUCCCUUAGGCCCUCGUAAACAAACAAACGAGCAGAUGUUGGCAUUUUUAUGGAUCCUGACAGCUGAAAUAGCUCCCGAAAGACGACGACGAAGAAGAAGAGCUUGCUGUAUCU